rnacentral:rRNA from 1 species
UACGUAGGGUGCAAGCGUUAAUCGGAAUUACUGGGCGUAAAGCGUGCGCAGGCGGUGAUGUAAGACAGGGGUGAAAUCCCCGGGCUUAACCUGGGAACUGCAUUUGUGACUGCAUCGCUGGAGUGCGGCAGAGGGGGAUGGAAUUCCGCGUGUAGCAGUGAAAUGCGUAGAUAUGCGGAGGAACACCGAUGGCGAAGGCAGUCCCCUGGGCCUGUACUGACGCUCAUGCACGAAAGCGUGGGGAGCAAACAGG